CAGGAGCAUAUUUUGUCUGCUUCUAACAGACUAUAAUCGAUCAAACUCGGAUGUUCCUGA
rnacentral:tRNA from 1 species